rnacentral:rRNA from 1 species
CACUUCUAAGGAAGGCAGCAGGCGCGCAAAUUACCCAAUCCUGACUCAGGGAGGUAGUGACAAGAAAUAACAAUAAACCGGCUUAUGCCGGUUUAAUUGGAAUGAGUACAAUUUAAACAUCUUAACGAGGAACAAUUGGAGGGCAAGUCUGGUGCCAGCAGCCGCGGUAAUUCCAGCUCCAAUAGCGUAUACUAAAGUUGUUGCAGUUAAAAAGCUCGUAGUUGGAUUUCUGUGGGGACGGAGCGGCCGGCCGCAACACGCGGUUCGAGCUAGCGCUUUCCCUACAUCCUGCCGCGAACCGUGCUACCAUUAGUUUGGUGGCGCCGGGGAUCGGCUCGAUUACUUUGAGAAAAAUAGAGUGUUCAAAGUAGGCCACAUGCCUUGAAUAAGUUAGCAUGGAAUAAUAACUAAGGACUUCGGUUCUAUUUUGUUGGUGUUCGGGACUGAAGUAAUGAUUGAUAGGGACAGUUGGGGCGGUCUGUAUUCCAAAGCGAGAGGUGAAAUUCUUAGACCUUCGGAAGACAAACAGCUGCGAAAGCGUUCCGCAAGGAUGUUCCCUUUGAUCAAGAACGAAAGUUGGGGGAUCGAAGACGAUCAGAUACCGUCGUAGUCUCAACUAUAAACUAUACCAGCUAGGGAUCGGCCAACGUUAUUUCAUACCGACUUGGUCGGCACCUUAUGAGAAAUCAAAGCAUCUGGGUUCCGGGGGGAGUAUGGUCGCAAGGCUGAAACUUAAAGGAAUUGACGGAAGGGCACCACCAGCCGUGGAGCCUGUGGCUUAAUUUGACUCAACACGGGAAAACUUACCAGGUCCAGACAUAGUAAGGAUUGACAGAUUGAUAGCUCUUUCUUGAUUCUGUGGGUGGUGGUGCAUGGCCGUUCUUAGUUGGUGGAGUGAUUUGUCUGGUUAAUUCCGUUAACGAACGAGACCCCAGCCUGCUAAAUAGCGCGCGUGAGCUUUGCUCGCGGCGAGCUUCUUAGAGGGACUAUGAUGCGCGAUAGCACAUGGAAGUUUGGGGCAAUAACAGGUCUGUGAUGCCCUUAGAUGUUCUGGGCCGCACACGGGCUACACUGGCGCCUGCAACGAGCAUAUCAGCUGGUCCGAGAGGGUCUUGGCUAAUCUUUUGAACCGGCGCCGUGCUUGGGAUUGACCUUUGCAAUUGUUGGUCAUGCAACGAGGAAUGCCUUGUAAACGCGAGUCAUCAGCUCGCAUUGAAUACGUCCCUGCCCUUUGUACACACCGCCCGUCGCUCCUACCGAUGAAUGUUCCGAUGAAAUUUUCGGAGAGUGCCUGUGAAGCAGGCCCUGCCUGUCGAACGGGAUGCUCAAAGUCACUUAAAUCUGAACAUUUCGAGG